CCUACGGGAGGCAGCAGUGGGGAAUAUUGCACAAUGGGGGAAACCCUGAUGCAGCGACGCCGCGUGAGUGAAGAAGUAAUUCGUUAUGUAAAGCUCUAUCAGCAGGGAAGAAAAUGACGGUACCUGAGUAAGAAGCCCCGGCUAACUACGUGCCAGCAGCCGCGGUAAGACGUAGGGGGCAAGCGUUAUCCGGAUUUACUGGGUGUAAAGGGAGCGUAGACGGCAGUGCAAGUCUGGAGUGAAAGGCGGGGGCUCAACCCCCGGACUGCACUGGAAACUGUACGGCUGGAGUGCAGGGGAGGUAAGUGGAAUUCGUGGUGUAGCGGUGAAAUGCGUAGAUAUGACGAAGAACCCCGGUGGCGAAGGCAGCUUACUGGACUGUAACUGACGUUGAGGCUCGAAAGCGUGGGGAUCAAACAGGAUUAGAUACCCUUGUAGUC
rnacentral:rRNA from 1 species